rnacentral:rRNA from 1 species
AGUGAACGCUGGCGGUAGGCCUAACACGUGCAAGUCGAACGGCAGCACAGUAAGAGCUUGCUCUUACGGGUGGCGAGUGGCGGACGGGUGAGGAAUACAUCGGAAUCUACUUUUUCGUGGGGGAUAACGUAGGGAAACUUACGCUAAUACCGCAUACGACCUACGGGUGAAAGCAGGGGAUCUUCGGACCUUGCGCGAUUGAAUGAGCCGAUGUCGGAUUAGCUAGUUGGCGGGGUAAAGGCCCACCAAGGCGACGAUCCGUAGCUGGUCUGAGAGGAUGAUCAGCCACCGUGGAACUAGGACACGGCCCAAACCCCGAGGGGAGGCAACGGGGGGGAAAUUUGGAAAAUGGGGGAAAGCCUGUCCCAGCCAACCCGGGUGGGUGAAGAAGGCUUCCGGGUUGUAAAGCCCUUUUUUGGGGAAAAAAAAGCAGCAGUUUAAUCCCCCGCUUUUCUGACGGUACCAAAAAAAAAAGCACCGGCUAAUUUCGU